rnacentral:rRNA from 1 species
AGACCGGUAUUUAGGACCACAGGGAUUGCCCCAGUAACGGCGAGUGAAGCGGCAACAGCUCAAAUUUGAAAUCUGGCCCCCUCGGGGCCCGAGUUGUAAUUUGCAGAGGGUGCCUUGGCGUUGGCACCGGCCUAAGUUCCCUGGAACGGGACGUCGCAGAGGGUGAGAACCCCGUACGUGGCCGGCCGCCUCCGCCGUGUAAGGCCCCUUCGACGAGUCGAGUUGUUUGGGAAUGCAGCUCUAAAUGGGAGGUAAAUUCCUUCUAAAGCUAAAUACUGGCCAGAGACCGAUAGCGCACAAGUAGAGUGAUCGAAAGAUGAAAAGCACUUUGGAAAGAGAGUCAAAAAGCACGUGAAAUUGUUGAAAGGGAAGCGCUUGCAGCCAGACUCGCCCGUAGUCGCUCACCCGGGCAUCUGCCCGGUGCACUCUUCUACGGGCGGGCCAGCAUCGGUUUGGGCGGCCGGACAAAGGCCCCGGGAACGUGGCUCCCCUCGGGGAGUGUUAUAGCCCGGGGCGCCCUGCGGCCAGCCCGGACCGAGGUCCGCGCAUCUGCUAGGAUGCUGGCGUAAUGGCUGUAAGCGGCCCGUCUUGAAACACGGACCAAGGAGUCUAACAUCUAUGCGAGUGUUUGGGUGUCAAGCCCGGACGCGCAAUGAAAGUGAACGGAGGUGGGAACCCCCCCGGGGUGCACCAUCGACCGAUCCUGAUGUCUUCGGAUGGAUUUGAGUAAGAGCAUAGCUGUUGGGACCCGAAAGAUGGUGAACUAUGCCUGAAUAGGGUGAAGCCAGAGGAAACUCUGGUGGAGGCUCGCAGCGGUUCUGACGUGCAAAUCGAUCGUCAAAUUUGGGCAUAGGGGCGAAAGACUAAUCGAACUAUCUAGUAGCUGGUUCCUGCCGAAGUUUCCCUCAGGAUAGCAGUAACGUUUUCAGUUUUAUGAGGUAAAGCGAAUGAUUAGAGGCCUGGGGGUUGAAACAACCUUCACCUAUUCUCAAACUUUAAAUAUGUAAGAAGUCCUUGUUACUUGAUUGAACGUGGACAUUUGAAUGCACCGUUACUAGUGGGCCAUUUUUGGUAAGCAGAACUGGCCAAUGCGGGAUGAACCGAAACGCGGGGUUAAGGUGCCAAAAUGCACGCUCAUCAGACACCCCAAAAGGUGUUAGUUCAUCUAGACCGCCAGGACGGUGGCCCUUGGAAAUCCGAAAUCCGCUAAAGGAUUGUGUAACAACUUAACCUGCCCAAAUCG